UGCCUUGGUAGAAUGAUCGCCUUUAACGAAUACUAAGUAGUUCCGGGAGUGAAGAAUGUCGCUAAGUAGCGCAGAUAAAGCAGCAAUUGUAAAUGAGUUCAAGCGUGAUGAC
rfam:Legionella sp. 40-6 scnpilot_expt_750_p_scaffold_1464, whole genome shotgun sequence.